UACAGGGGGGGCAAGCGUUGUUCGGAAUUACUGGGCGUAAAGGGUUUGUAGGUGGCUUGCUAAGUCAGACGUGAAAUCCCUCAGCUUAACUGGGGAACUGCGUCUGAUACUGGCGAGCUUGAGUGCAGGAGAGGAACGCGGAAUUCCGGGUGUAGUGGUGGAAUGCGUAGAGAUCCGGAGGAACACCAGCGGCGAAGGCGGCGUCCUGGACUGGUACUGACGCUCAGGAGCGAGAGCGUGGGGAGCAAACAGG
rnacentral:rRNA from 1 species